AUCUUCAGGGCAGGGUGAGAUUCCCGACCGGCGGUAUAGUCCGCGAGCGCGCGAGCGCAGGGCCUGACAGCGGUGCAGGCCAGGAUUUGGUGAAAUUCCAAAACCGACAGUAUAGUCUGGAUGAGAGAAGAUG
rnacentral:ncRNA from 1 species